rnacentral:rRNA from 1 species
UACGGAGGGGGCUAGCGUUGUUCGGAAUUACUGGGCGUAAAGCGCACGUAGGCGGCUUUGUAAGUUAGAGGUGAAAGCCCGGGGCUCAACUCCGGAAUUGCCUUUAAGACUGCAUCGCUAGAAUUGUGGAGAGGUAAGUGGAAUUCCGAGUGUAGAGGUGAAAUUCGUAGAUAUUCGGAAGAACACCAGUGGCGAAGGCGACUUACCGGACACAUAUUGACGCUGAGGUGGCGAAAAGCGUGGGGAGCAAACAGG